CAGUCGCCGCGGUAACACCGAGGGUGCAAGCGUUAAUCGGAAUUACUGGGCGUAAAGCGCGCGUAGGUGGUUUGUUAAGUUGGAUGUGAAAUCCCCGGGCUCAACCUGGGAACUGCAUCCAAAACUGGCAAGCUAGAGUAUGGUAGAGGGUGGUGGAAUUUCCUGUGUAGCGGUGAAAUGCGUAGAUAUAGGAAGGAACACCAGUGGCGAAGGCGACCACCUGGACUGAUACUGACACUGAGGUGCGAAAGCGUGGGGAGCAAACAGGAUUAGAUACCCCCGUAGUCCCUGUCUCUUAUAC
rnacentral:rRNA from 1 species